ACCACCUCAAAGUCACAACAUCAAGGAACUUUGGAAAAUUAAAAGCCGCGCUCCCGGCACCGGGCGGAACGCAGCUUCCGCUCCCCAGGCAACGCCAGCCGCUCCCGCGCCACAGCCUUGGCUGCCGGGCCAGGGGCACAAGAAGCGCCCUCCAAUGCAGCGGCACAGCCCGAUUCCAACCCUUCAAACGCUGCGAGAGCUGCAGCUUCCUUCAAUUCAACCCCCGGAACUUACUCCACACUCAGAACACAGGGAUUCGCUGCCACCCCGGGAUACCCCUAACACCCUGGAAAAGGCAUGUUUUCCUUCAAUCAAGACCCUCAAAACCACGAGUGCACGGGAAUCCCACCCAGUUCAAACACAGGCAAUAAUGGAAGAGAAGUUGCUUCCCUCAUUUUGAAUUUCUUUUGUCUUAAUAAACCCUAGUUUGUUUGGGG